rnacentral:rRNA from 1 species
AUUGAACGCUGGCGGCAUGCCUUACACAUGCAAGUCGAACGGUAACGGGCCUUCGGGGGCCGACGAGUGGCGAACGGGUGAGUAAUACAUCGGAACGUGCCCGAUCGUGGGGGAUAACGAGGCGAAAGCUUUGCUAAUACCGCAUACGAUCUACGGAUGAAAGCAGGGGACCGCAAGGCCUUGCGCGGACGGAGCGGCCGAUGGCAGAUUAGGUAGUUGGUGGGAUAAAAGCUUACCAAGCCGACGAUCUGUAGCUGGUCUGAGAGGAUGAUCAGCCACACUGGGACUGAGACACGGCCCAGACUCCUACGGGAGGCAGCAGUGGGGAAUUUUGGACAAUGGGCGCAAGCCUGAUCCAGCCAUGCCGCGUGCAGGAUGAAGGCCUUCGGGUUGUAAACUGCUUUUGUACGGAACGAAAAGCCUUCUUUUAAUACAGGAGGGUCAUGACGGUACCGUAAGAAUAAGCACCGGCUAACUACGUG